GAUACUGUAUUUUGCGUUCUACCCUUUUAAGGCCACUUCACAGCUAUCUAAUUUCCUGAUUUUCUAAUUAUAUUGUUGUAGUCUUAUAAGAAAUAAUCAAAGAUCUACAUAUACGCAUUGAUUUAUAUUCGCAUUAUUUUUCUACUCCUGAAAGUCACGAAAAAAAGUGGCUCGUGGAAUAAGUUGGUUUACAGUACACAUUCAGGAUGAGAACAUGUUAGUGUAGUAUGAAAUACAAUCUUGCUUUGAAUUAGGCCGACAUACUGAGCUGUAAACAAGAUAUAAACAGCACGCAGGAAGACUUAUAACCUUUAAUACCCGGAAUCUUUUGUUCAAUCCAAAUGACCAGCUUUUGCUCUUACUCCCUUAUACUGCAUGUUUAUUGAAGAAGCAGCAAAUACCAAUUUUGAAGUCUUGGUUUUAAACCCACGACCUCCUGCUGUACUGGAGGCCAACGGGCUACCUUGAGACCACCAAGGUGGUUUUACGUCAAAGAAGACAGUGAGGAAUGGUGUGUUGAAGUAUAUUAUUUUUUUAAUAAAAUAUCAAUUUUGUUCAAUCUUUAAGACAGAAGUUCA
rnacentral:lncRNA from 1 species